rnacentral:tRNA from 1 species
GGGCGCUUAGUUCAGUGGUAGAACGUCUUGCUUACACCAAGAAGGUCGUAGGUUCGAUCCCUACAGCGCCCA